CAGGGAUUGCCCUAGUAACGGCGAGUGAAGCGGCAACAGCUCAAAUUUGAAAUCUGGCCCUUGGGUCCGAGUUGUAAUUUGUAGAGGAUGCUUUUGGUACGGCGCCUUCCGAGUUCCCUGGAACGGGACGCCAUAGAGGGUGAGAGCCCCGUACGGUUGGAUGCCUAGCCUCUGUAAAGCUCUUUCGACGAGUCGAGUAGUUUGGGAAUGCUGCUCUAAAUGGGAGGUAAAUUUCUUCUAAAGCUAAAUACCGGCCAGAGACCGAUAGCGCACAAGUAGAGUGAUCGAAAGAUGAAAAGCACUUUGAAAAGAGGGUUAAAUAGCACGUGAAAUUGUUGAAAGGGAAGCGCUUAUGACCAGACUUUUACCUGGCGGAUCAUCCGGCGUUCUCGCCGGUGCACUUCGCUAGGUUGAGGCCAGCAUCGAUUUUUGUAGGGGGAUAAAGACUUCGGGAAAGUAGCUCUCUUCGGGGAGUGUUAUAGCCCGCUGUGUAAUACCCUUACGGGGAUCGAGGUUCGCGCUCUGCAAGGAUGCUGGCAUAAUGGUCAUCAGUGACCCGUCUUGAAACACGGACCAAGGAGUCGAACAUUUAUGCGAGUGUUUGGGUGUUAAACCCUCACGCGUAAUGAAAGUGAACGGAGGUGAGAGCCCUUAAGGGUGCAUCAUCGACCGAUCCUGAAGUCUUCGGAUGGAUUUGAGUAAGAGCAUAACUGUUCGGACCCGAAAGAUGGUGAACUAUGCGUGGAUAGGGUGAAGCCAGAGGAAACUCUGGUGGAGGCUCGCAGCGGUUCUGACGUGCAAAUCGAUCGUCAAAUCUGCGCAUGGGGGCGAAAGACUUAUCGAACCAUUAACUAAGAAACCAGCGGUAAAUAAUUAUUUACUAGGUGGUUAAUAGGCUUCUUGCGAGAGGAAGCCUAGGUCGGACUUACCCGGGAUGAACCGGGUAACCCUUACCCGGGACCUACCCGGUAGCUCCCUACCGGGAGUUACCCUGUAGUACCGGGUAGCCGGCCGACACCGCUAAAUUGCGGGGACAUCCUACAGAAGGCUCCAGGCUACCGCCGCGUGCUGAAAAGCGUCCGCGGCACCAAGAAUAGCGCUCUUGGGUAUGGUAAAAACGCCUGGGGUAUCGGACGACCUGCAGCCAACCCCGCCAGCCCUAGAAGGGCCCAGGGGAGAGUUCACUGACUAAACAGCGGUGGGUCUUGCGGCGAGAGCCGUAGGGCUUAAGACAUAGUCGAUCUGGGCCCUGAAAAGGUGACCCUAAAGUAU
rnacentral:rRNA from 1 species